rnacentral:pre_miRNA from 1 species
UGACUCAUGCUUCCAUGUUGACCAACAUACCACCAAAAUAUUAUGAUGUUCGCAUGUUGCCCUGUUUACCACUAUUAAUCAAGACACUCCCCCUCCUCUCUUUUGUUUUCCUGGUGAACAUCAAUAUAUUGGUAAACAGGCUAAGGUUGUAAUUUUCUGUGGUAUGUUGGCAAUGUAGGAAGUCUGAAUGG